CUAACAGUGAUAAUAUACUAUUCCUUACUUUCAUAGGGACCUUUCUGACCCUGCGAGGGCCCCUUUAGGUUCCCAGACCUCCCUUUGGGAAAGACUAAUGAAUUAAAAAGAAACAGCUCUACAACUUGGAAGGUUGUGCGUCUUUGAUGCAGCUUGUAACCACACUGAUGUUCCUUUGCUGCUGCUCCUGAUGGCCAUGACCCCAGACUGAAGGUCCAAGGUGGCAAGUUCAGACAAAACAGCGCUGUACUUCUGAGGGCUGACCCAGGCAGAGGGGUCAAAGUUCAUACACAACAAGUGAUCAGCAUAGUGACCUCACAUGGGAACAGAAGGAGCAAGAGAGAUGUCCUAGAUGGAUCAAUAACCUGCGUUGGUAAGCUGAAAGCUGGCUGUCACACAGUUUUGAUGUCAUCAUGAGAAUGAAGCACAGGAAGUCAGAGUAAUCUGAAUGGCUGCCUUCAGAUUGUUACAAUAGGCUCAGUGGCUGACAAGAAAACGUCAUGAAGAAAUUUGGAGAAGGCAAAGAGUAAAGGUGAGCGGAAGGUGAAGAGCGACGGAUGGGAAAAAACCUGAGGUGAAAGAAGAGGACACGCAGAUAACUGUACGGAUGUGACCUCUCUGGGGGAGAGCUGAACUGCUUUUUGCCACUGGAGGGGUGAAAGGUCAGAGUCCGGCCUUUAGG